rnacentral:lncRNA from 1 species
UCCUGUAUGACAAGAUCUGCUCUAUUGUGUUGGUAUCCAGUUGGCACAAAGCUCCCACUUACACCUCCUUAUCCUCUUGAUUCCAGAACCUGCUUGAUUCAGGUGAAAGAGUCAUUUGAAAGAAGGAUUUUCAUCUCUCCAGAAGAUAUAUUGCAUGGUGAUUUGCUGGCCAAACAAGCUGUUCUUCUCAAAGAAAUCAGUUCAGCUGGCUUACCCUUCCAUGAAGCUUCCCUUUGGUCUCUGCCCUGCUCAUGCUGGGAGUUCAAACGAGUAUGUGAAGCUCUUGCCAGCUAG